rnacentral:tRNA from 1 species
AUUUAUAUAGUUUAAUAAAACAUUACAUUUUCAUUGUAAAAUUAGAAGCUUUUUCUUAUAAAUU